AUUGAACGCUGGCGGCAGGCCUAACACAUGCAAGUCGAGCGGAUGAAGGGAGCUUGCUCCUGGAUUCAGCGGCGGACGGGUGAGUAAUGCCUAGGAAUCUGCCUGGUAGUGGGGGAUAACGUCCGGAAACGGGCGCUAAUACCGCAUCCGUCCUGAGGGAGAAAGUGGGGGAUCUUCGGACCUCACGCUAUCAGAUGAGCCUAGGUCGUAUUAGCUAGUUGGUGGGGUAAAGGCCUACCAAGGCGACGAUCCGUAACUGGUCUGAGAGGAUGAUCAGUCACACUGGAACUGAGACACGGUCCAGACUCCUACGGGAGGCAGCAGUGGGGAAUAUUGGACAAUGGGCGAAAGCCUGAUCCAGCCAUGCCGCGUGUGUGAAGAAGGUCUUCGGAUUGUAAAGCACUUUAAGUUGGGAGGAAGGGCAGUAAGUUAAUACCUUGCUGUUUUGACGUUACCAACAGAAUAAGCACCGGCUAACUUCGUG
rnacentral:rRNA from 1 species